rnacentral:rRNA from 1 species
CACGUAGGGGGCGAGCGUUGUCCGGAUUUAUUGGGCGUAAAGAGCUCGUAGGCGGCUCAGUAAGUCAGGUGUGAAAUCUCCGGGCUUAACCCGGAGCGGCCAAGUGAUACUGUCGUGCUAGAGUGCGGAAGGGGCAACUGGAAUUCUCGGUGUAGCGGUGAAAUGCGUAGAUAUCGAGAGGAACACCUGCGGCGAAGGCGGGUUGCUGGGCCGACACUGACGCUGAGGCGCGAAAGCCAGGGGAGCGAACGGG